rnacentral:ncRNA from 1 species
AAAUGUGAAAACAGUACUGGGUGUCUUUUUUAAGACUUAAAAGGGAAGCUGGUGAAAUGCCAGCGCGGUCCCGCCACUGUAAAUGGGAGUAAGCAGCAAUAGGCCACUGUACAAGCUACGGGAAGGCGCUGCAGACAAUGACCAUAAGCCAGGAGACCUGCCUGUAACUGUACACCAAU